UCCCGUAGUGUAGUGGUUAACAUGCCUGCCUGUCACGCAGGAGAUCGCGGGUUCGAGUCCCGUCGGGACCGCCAUU
rnacentral:tRNA from 1 species